rnacentral:rRNA from 1 species
ACGAACGCUGGCGGCGUGCUUAACACAUGCAAGUCGAACGGAAAGGCCCUGCUUUUGUGGGGUGCUCGAGUGGCGAACGGGUGAGUAACACGUGAGUAACCUGCCCUUGACUUUGGGAUAACUUCAGGAAACUGGGGCUAAUACCGGAUAGGAGCUCCUGCUGCAUGGUGGGGGUUGGAAAGUUUCGGCGGUUGGGGAUGGACUCGCGGCUUAUCAGCUUGUUGGUGGGGUAGUGGCUUACCAAGGCUUUGACGGGUAGCCGGCCUGAGAGGGUGACCGGCCACAUUGGGACUGAGAUACGGCCCAGACUCCUACGGGAGGCAGCAGUGGGGAAUACUGCACAAUGGGCGGAAGCCUGAUGCAGCAACGCCGCGUGCGGGAUGACGGCCUUCGGGUUGUAAACCGCUUUCGCCUGUGACGAAGCGUGAGUGACGGUAAUGGGUAAAGAAGCACCGGCUAACUACGUG